AGAGUUUGAUCCUGGCUCAGGAUGAUCGCUGGCGGCGUGCCUAACACAUGCAAGUCGAACGGAGCCUAAUCAGCAGAAGCGGCCAGCUUGCUGGAAGCGGAAGCAGAAAAGGCUUAGUGGCGGACGGGUGAGUAACGCGUGGGUAACCUGGCCCAUACAGGGGGAUAACACUUAGAAAUAGGUGCUAAUACCGCAUAACAACAGAAAGCGCAUGCUUUGUGUUUGAAAACUGAGGUGGUAUGGGAUGGACCCGCGUCUGAUUAGCUGGUUGGCGGGGUAAUGGCCCACCAAGGCGACUAUCAGUAACCGGCCUGAGAGGGUGGACGGCCACAUUGGGACUGAGACACGGCCCAAACUCCUACAGGAGGCAGCAGUGGGGAAUAUUGCACAAGGGGGGAAACCCUGAUGCAGCGACGCCGCGUGAGUGAAGAAGUAAUUCGUUAUGUAAGGCUCUAUCAGCAGGGAAGAAAAUGACGGUACCUGAUUAAGAUGCCCCGGCUAACUACGUGCCAGCAGCCGCGGUAAUACGUAGGGG
rnacentral:rRNA from 1 species